rnacentral:rRNA from 1 species
AUACGUAGGGAGCGAGCGUUGUCCGGAAUUACUGGGCGUAAAGGGCGCGUAGGCGGCGCUUCAAGUCGUCUGUCAAAUGGGAGGGCUUAACCCUUUUUCGCAGACGAAACUGGAGAGCUUGAGAAGCAGAGAGGCAAACAGAAUUCCUGGUGUAGCGGUGAAAUGCGUAGAUAACAGGAAGAAUACCAGUGGCGAAGGCGGUUUGCUGGCUGCAUACUGACUCUGAAGCGCGAAAGCCAGGGGAGCAAACGGGAGUAUAUACCCCGGUAGGCCUGGCAGUAAACGAUGUAUGCUGGGUGUGAGACUAGCGAUAGUUUCGUGCCGAAGUUAACGCGAUAAGCAUACCGCCUGGGGAGUACGGUCGCAAGAUUGAAACUCAAAUGAAUUGGCGGGG